CACCUCUCAGGGUUGCAGCUGGAGAGCUUCUAGUAUGCUACCAGUCCUGGCUAUAAGAGGGAGAGUCAAGCAGAGGUAUACCCAUUCCAUUCCUAGCUUGGGCAGUGGCUAGUGAGGGGAAGGCAAUCUGCUACAAGU
rfam:Ornithorhynchus anatinus chromosome 2, whole genome shotgun sequence.